AUGUCUCACCCCUGGGGGCCCCAGGACUCUGAACACUCCUUGACCCCAAACAGGAAAGGUGUGAGCUCCCACAGGGGACAGGCACUGGGGGGCACCAGAGGCUUUCAGCCCGAAAGUAGGGUCUGCAACAAACCUGUGAUGUGGCCUAAAAUUUCCCCCCACAACACCCAUCCAAACGCUUUUAUUUUGUCCCUCCUUUUUUUUCACAGCAGUCUUUUAAAAAUAUAUUUUAGUUUAUUUUUUUUUUCAUAGGCAAAACAGACUCAGGCCACACAUGUAAACUAUACCAGGGGUGUUCAGGAGAGACACCAGCCCCCCAGGCUCCCCAGAGGCCGCCAGCCAGUGUUUCGUUUCCUCUCCAGCAGUGCUCCUCCCCCAAACAAGCGUAUCCGUGUACUUUUCCCUUCCCCUCAUAGAAACAGCAGCAUACCAUCCAUCCCUGCUGUUUUGCAGCCCUUCUGAUUCCCUCAUAACAAUAUGUCCCAGAUUUCUUCCCAUAAAGAACCUUCUCUGGCCUUUUAACGGCUGUAUAAUAUUUCCUCUUGGGGCUGGAUGGCCGUCCCCAUGAAAGCAUAUGCCCUGGGUCCCAGCAUUUUGCGGGUUUAAACGGUGAAUCCAUAAACCCUGUAGCGGGGCUUCCCUGGUGGUUCAGUGGUAAAGAAUCCUCUGCCAAUGCAGGAGACACCAGUUUGACCCCCUGGUCUGUGAAGAUCCCACAUGCCCCAGAGCAACACGGCCCAGGGACCACGACAAUUGAGCUUGUGCUCUAGAACCUGGGAGCUGUAGCUUCUGAAGCCCACAUGCCCUGGAGCCCGAGCUCCACAACAGGAGGGCCACGGGGGCCACACCUAGGGAGUAGCCCCCAGGCGCUGCAGCUAGGGAAAAGCCCCCACAGAAACAAAGACCCAGCACAGCCAAAAACAAACAAUAAACAAAUAAAAUUGUAUUUAAAAAAAGAAGUCAGGGUAAAUUAAAGGGAAACAAGCUGUAACAAUGUCACUGUUCUUGUGGGUCAACAUACUGGCACCCUUCCUAAAAAUUUUUUUCUUUUUUGGCCACACCCCAUGGUGUGCAGAACUUCCCCAACCAAGGAUCAAAUCUGCAUGCCUUGACGUGGAACCUCAGAGUCUUAACCACUGGACUGCCAGGUAAGUCCCUGAAGUUGUUUUUCAUUGAUAAACUUGAUAUUCGGGGCUUGCUUGGUGGUCCACUUGUCCUCAGACUCUGCGCUCCCAGAGUACGGAGUCCCUGGUCAGGGAACUGGAUCUCACGUGGUGCAACUGAGAGCUCACACGUUGCAACUGACGAUCCCACAGGCCGAGACUGAGACCCGGUGCAGCCAAAUAAAAUAAAUAAAUAUUUUAAAAUAAAUAAAUAAACUUGAUAUUUUUAGAGCCGUUUUAGAUUUAUAGGAAAAUUGAGCAGAAAGUGCAGAGUUCUCACACAGUACCUUACUCCCCUAGUGCACACACACAAUUCCUCCCCCAGCCACCUGCUUUUUUAAAAAAGUCUCUUGGCUGAACCACACAGAACAUGGGAUCUUAGUUCCCUGAUCAGGGAUGGAACAUGAGCCCCUGCAUUGAGAGGGUGGCAUCUGAGCCACUGGACCAGGGAAGUCCCUCCCCUAUUAUCAACAUCUUGUAUUGGUGCGUUUUAUUUCUUACAUCUGAUGAACUAACACUGAUACAUUAUUGUAAACUGAAGUCCAUAACCAGCAUCAGGGUUCC
ensembl:lncRNA